GACGAACGCUGGCGGCGUGCCUAAUACAUGCAAGUAGAACGCUGAAGGAGGAGCUUGCUCUUCUGGAUGAGUUGCGAACGGGUGAGUAACGCGUAGGUAACCUGCCUGGUAGCGGGGGAUAACUAUUGGAAACGAUAGCUAAUACCGCAUAACAGUAGAUGUUGCAUGACAUUUGCUUAAAAGGUGCAAUUGCACCACUACCAGAUGGACCUGCGUUGUAUUAGCUAGUUGGUGGGGUAACGGCUCACCAAGGCGACGAUACAUAGCCGACCUGAGAGGGUGAUCGGCCACACUGGGACUGAGACACGGCCCAGACUCCUACGGGAGGCAGCAGUAGGGAAUCUUCGGGAAUGGACGGAAGUCUGACCGAGCAACGCCGCGUGAGUGAAGAAGGUUUUCGGAUCGUAAAGCUCUGUUGUAAGAGAAGAACGAGUGUGAGAGUGGAAAGUUCACACUGUGACGGUAUCUUACCAGAAAGGGACGGCUAACUACGUG
rnacentral:rRNA from 1 species